GUUCUCUGAGUGGUGUCAUCUGAAGGACACAUGCUGCAUGUGGAGAGGCUGAUCAUCCUGUGAGUAACAUGCUGAGAACAGAGGGGAACGUCCCUCCAAGUUGCAGAGCCUUGAAAAGAACUGCGCAGCAUUCUGAGGGAUACAUGCAGGACAGAGGAUUUAGCCGCUCAACCUCUGAAGAGCAAGCUACGUAAAGUUGGAGCUGACCUC